CCAGACUCCUACGGGAGGCAGCAGUGAGGAAUAUUGGUCAAUGGCCGAGAGGCUGAACCAGCCAAGUCGCGUGAGGGAUGACGGUCCUAUGGAUUGUAAACCUCUUUUGUCAGGGAGCAAAGGGCGCCACGUGUGGCGCUUUGCGAGUACCUGAAGAAAAAGCAUCGGCUAACUCCGUGCCAGCAGCCGCGGUAAUACGGAGGAUGCGAGCGUUAUCCGGAUUUAUUGGGUUUAAAGGGUGCGCAGGCGGAGGUGCAAGUCAGCGGUCAAAUUGCGGGGCUCAACCCCGUACUGCCGUUGAAACUGGCGUUCUUGAGUGGGCGAGAAGUAUGCGGAAUGCGUGGUGUAGCGGUGAAAUGCAUAGAUAUCACGCAGAACUCCGAUUGCGAAGGCAGCAUACCGGCGCCCAACUGACGCUGAAGCACGAAAGCGUGGGUAUCGAACAGGAUUAGAUACCCCGGUA
rnacentral:rRNA from 1 species